rnacentral:rRNA from 1 species
GUCGAACGGUGAAGCCCUUCGGGGUGGAUCAGUGGCGAACGGGUGAGUAACACGUGGGCAAUCUGCCCUGCACUCUGGGACAAGCCCUGGAAACGGGGUCUAAUACCGGAUAUGACCUUCCUCCGCAUGGGGGUUGGUGUAAAGCUCCGGCGGUGCAGGAUGAGCCCGCGGCCUAUCAGCUUGUUGGUGGGGUAAUGGCCUACCAAGGCGACGACGGGUAGCCGGCCUGAGAGGGCGACCGGCCACACUGGGACUGAGACACGGCCCAGACUCCUACGGGAGGCAGCAGUGGGGAAUAUUGCACAAUGGGCGAAAGCCUGAUGCAGCGACGCCGCGUGAGGGAUGACGGCCUUCGGGUUGUAAACCUCUUUCAGCAGGGAAGAAGCGCAAGUGACGGUACCUGCAGAAGAAGCACCGGCUAACUACGUGCCAGCAGCCGCGGUAAUACGUAGGGUGCGAGCGUUGUCCGGAAUUAUUGGGCGUAAAGAGCUCGUAGGCGGCCUGUCGCGUCGGAUGUGAAAGCCCGGGGCUUAACCCCGGGUCUGCAUUCGAUACGGGCAGGCUAGAGUGUGGUAGGGGAGAUCGGAAUUCCUGGUGUAGCGGUGAAAUGCGCAGAUAUCAGG